UGUAGAAUACGAACGUUCUUAUGAGAAGUAAAAAUGUAGUGUCAACAGACAUUAUAGAUUUGUGUAGAUUAGUGUUUCUCAAUAAUAAAUCUUUAGAGAUUAAGAAUCAAAUCACGAGCGUUUUAAUAAACACACAUUUUCCACGCCAUCAUUACAGUUGGUUACCAUAUGUGUGUCAACUGUAAUGAAACUAGGUCUUGGCCAAUGAUAAACCGAACUGUUUUCGAUGUUAUGAAAAGAUAUGUGAGUCUUUUAGAGUGAGUAUUGAUGUAUCGGUCUUGAAUAAUCAGUCGUGAAUGUUAGUAUAAAAGAAAAUGAACCAAAUGUGAAGACUCUACGAACAAGGAUAAGUUAUAAUAAUGUGACUUAUAAAAUUACAUGUGUAAAAAUAAAGAAAAACUUUAUAUCCAAGUUAUAAAUUAAUAAAACUAC